rnacentral:hammerhead_ribozyme from 1 species
AUCUAGAUGACGAGUUCCAGAUAGGACGAAAUGAGCAUUCUGGAU